CGGGGCGUGGCGCAGUCUGGUAGCGCACCUGCUUUGGGAGCAGGGGGUCGGAGGUUCGAAUCCUCUCGCCCCGACCA
rnacentral:tRNA from 4 species